GAGAUAUAUACUGUCUCAUAUAUAUAAAAUGAAUUUAAAUUUUUAGUAAAAAUGCUUAAAUAGUUUUAUGGGACGAUAAGACCCUAUAGAAUUUUAUAUUAAAAUUUUAUUAAUUAUUUAGUUAAAAUUUUAAUAUUUAGUUGGGAGGAUUAGUAAAUAAAAUUAACUUUAUUUUAAAAAUAAACUUUGAUUUAAGGAUAAAGUUUUGAUCUUAUAUUAUAAAUUAAAAGAAUAAAUUACCUUAGGGAUAACAGCGUAAUAUCUUUUUAAAGAUCAUAUUAAUAAAGAUGUUUGCGACCUCGAUGUUGAAUUAAGAUAAAUUUUAAAUGAAGAAAUUUAAAAAUUAAGUCUGUUCGACUUUUAAAAUCUUACAUGA
rnacentral:rRNA from 1 species